rnacentral:rRNA from 1 species
AUUGAACGCUGGCGGCAUGCCUUACACAUGCAAGUCGAACGGUAACGCGGGGGCAACCCUGGCGACGAGUGGCGAACGGGUGAGUAAUACAUCGGAACGUGUCCUGUUGUGGGGGAUAACCCAUCGAAAGGUGAGCUAAUACCGCAUGAUCUGGAGACAGCAAAGCAGGGGACCGGUAACGGCCUUGCGCGAUUGGAGCGGCCGAUGUCCGAUUAGCUAGUUGGUGGGGUAAAGGCCCACCAAGGCAACGAUCGGUAGCUGGUCUGAGAGGAUGGAUCAGCCACACUGGGACUGAGACACGGCCCAGACUCCUACGGGAGGCAGCAGUGGGGAAUUUUGGACAAUGGGGGCAACCCUGAUCCAGCCAUGCCGCGUGAGUGAAGAAGGCC